rnacentral:rRNA from 1 species
GACGAACGCUGGCGGCGUGCUUAACACAUGCAAGUCGAACGGAAAGGCCCUGCUUUUGUGGGGUGCUCGAGUGGCGAACGGGUGAGUAACACGUGAGUAACCUGCCCUUGAAUUUGGGAUAACUUCAGGAAACUGGGGCUAAUACCGGAUAGGAGCUCCUGCUGCAUGGUGGGGGUUGGAAAGUUUCGGCGGUUGGGGAUGGACUCGCGGCUUAUCAGCUUGUUGGUGGGGUAGUGGCUUACCAAGGCUUUGACGGGUAGCCGGCCUGAGAGGGUGACCGGCCACAUUGGGACUGAGAUACGGCCCAGACUCCUACGGGAGGCAGCAGUGGGGAAUAUUGCACAAUGGGCGGAAGCCUGAUGCAGCAACGCCGCGUGCGGGAUGACGGCCUUCGGGUUGUAAACCGCUUUCGCCUGUGACGAAGCGUGAGUGACGGUAAUGGGUAAAGAAGCACCGGCUAACUACGUG